rnacentral:rRNA from 1 species
CAGUAGCCGCGGGAAUACGAAGGGUGCAAGCGUUUAUCGGAAUUACUGGGCGUAAAGCGUGCGCAGGCGGUUAUAUAAGUCAGAUGUGAAAUCCCCGGGCUCAACCUGGGAACUGCAUUUGAGACUGUAUGGCUAGAGUGUGUCAGAGGGGGGUAGAAUUCCACGUGUAGCAGUGAAAUGCGUAGAUAUGUGGAGGAAUACCGAUGGCGAAGGCAGCCCCCUGGGAUAACACUGACGCUCAUGCACGAAAGCGUGGGGAGCAAACAGGAUUAGAUACCCCGGUAGUCCCUGUCUCUUAUAC